rnacentral:rRNA from 1 species
AUUGAACGCUGGCGGCAGGCCUAACACAUGCAAGUCGAGCGAGCGGCGGACGGGUGAGUAAUGUAUGGGGACUGCCCGAUAGAGGGGGAGAACUACUGUAAACGGUGGCUAAUACCGCAUACUGUCUGAUAUACCAUAUGGGAUUAUCUAUUAGGUAAGGUAUUGGCUUACCUAGGCGACAAGCCCUAGCUGGUCUGAGAGGAUGAUCAGCCACACUGGUACUGAGACACGGCCCAGACUCCUACGGAGGCAGCAGUGGGGAAUAUUGCACAAUGGGCGCAAGCCUGAUGCAGCCAUGCCGCGUGUAUGAAGAAGGCCCUAGGGUUGUAAAGUACUUUCAGUCGGGAGGCGUUACCGACAGAAGAAGCACCGGCUAACUCCGUGCCAGCCGCCGCGGUAAUAC